rnacentral:rRNA from 1 species
CACGUAGGGCGCGAGCGUUGUCCGGAAUUAUUGGGCGUAAAGAGCUCGUAGGCGGCCUGUGCGUCCGCUGUGAAAGCCCGGGGCUUAACCCCGGGUCGGCAGUGGAUACGGGCAGGCUAGAGGUAGGUAGGGGAGAAUGGAAUUCCCGGUGUAGCGGUGAAAUGCGCAGGAUAUCGGGAGGAACACCGGUGGCGAAGGCGGUUCUCUGGGCCUUACCUGACGCUGAGGAGCGAAAGCGUGGGGAGCGAACAGG